UACGAGGGGGGCGAGCGUUGUUCGGAAUCACUGGGCGUAAAGGGCGCGUAGGCGGCUUUAUAAGUCGGGGGGUGAAAGCCUGUGGCUCAACCACAGAAUUGCCUUCGAUACUGUAGAGCUUGAGACCGGAAGAGGUAAGUGGAACUGCGAGUGUAGAGGUGAAAUUCGUAGAUAUUCGCAAGAACACCAGUGGCGAAGGCGGCUCACUGGCCCGGUACUGACGCUGAGGUGCGAAAGCGUGGGGAGCAAACAGG
rnacentral:rRNA from 1 species